CCUACGGGUGGCAGCAGUGGGGAAUAUUGCACAAUGGGGGAAACCCUGAUGCAGCGACGCCGCGUGAGUGAAGAAGUAUUUCGGUAUGUAAAGCUCUAUCAGCAGGGAAGAAAAUGACGGUACCGGAUUAAGAAGCCCCGGCUAACUACGUGCCAGCAGCCGCGGGAAUAAGUAGGGGGCAAGAGUUAUCCGGAUUUACUGGGUUUACAGGGAGCGUAGACGGCAGCACAAGUCUGGAGUGAAAUGCCGGGGCUUAACCCCGGACCUGCUUUGGAAACUGUGCAGCUAGAGUGCAGGAGAGGUAAGUGGAAUUCCUAGUGUAGCGGUGAAAUGCGUAGAUAUUAGGAGGAACACCAGUGGCGAAGGCGGCUUACUGGACUGUAACUGACGUUGAGGCUCGAAAGCGUGGGGAGCAAACAGGAUUAGAUACCCCUGUAGUC
rnacentral:rRNA from 1 species